rnacentral:lncRNA from 1 species
ACACUCGUAUGUGUGAAAGGUAAAUCCUCGUGUGAAAUACAUAGGUGAUGUGGUGACCUAUGCAACUGGACCUUGAACCAAUUCGUGAAACCAUACGGGAUAAUAAAGAUCCUCAUAAUCAACCUGCAAAAAGCAGAUAUUCUUAAUUAAUAUUGAAGUAUCAAAACACUUACUUAAUUAAUCAGUGUACGAGAUAUAUUACGUACCUCUGAUUUUAACCACU